GAUGAACGCUAGCGGCAGGCCUAAUACAUGCAAGUCGGACGGGAUUCAGGAGCUUGCUUCUGAUGAGAGUGGCGCACGGGUGCGUAACACGUAUGUAACCUACCUUUAUCAGGGGGAUAGCCUCUCGAAAGAGAGAUUAAGCCCGCAUAAAAUCACAGCACAGCAUUGUGUAAUGAUCAAAUAUUUAUAGGAUAAAGAUGGGCAUGCGGAACAUUAGCUAGAUGGCGGGGUAACGGCCCACCAUGGCGACGAUGUUUAGGGGAUCUGAGAGGAUGGCCCCCCACACUGGUACUGAGACACGGACCAGACUCCUACGGGAGGCAGCAGUAAGGAAUAUUGGUCAAUGGGCGGAAGCCUGAACCAGCCAUGCCGCGUGCAGGAAGACGGCCCUACGGGUUGUAAACUGCUUUUAUACGGGAAUAAACCCAGAUACGUGUAUCUGGCUGAAUGUAUUGUAAGAAUAAGGAUCGGCUAACUCCGUG
rnacentral:rRNA from 1 species